rnacentral:rRNA from 1 species
UACGGAGGGUGCAAGCGUUAUCCGGAUUCACUGGGUUUAAAGGGUGCGUAGGUGGCUUUGUAAGUCAGUGGUGAAAUCUUAGAGCUUAACUCUAAAACUGCCAUUGAUACUGCUUAGCUUGAAUCAAGUAGAGGUGGAUGGAAUAUUACAUGUAGCGGUGAAAUGCUUAGAUAUGUAAUAGAACACCGAUUGCGAAGGCAGUUCACUAGGCUUGUAUUGACACUGAGGCACGAAAGCGUGGGGAUCAAACAGG